AUGGUAACGGCGGUGGCAGCCGUGCUGGAGCCUCCGUCACGGUCGCCGCUGCGGCGGCGGCACCGGCUGGCGAACGGGGCGGGUGCUACCACCGGCGACUUCGAGCUCCGGCACUGGCGCCCGGCCAAGAAGAGUAGUUCGUCCGGGAUGAAGGGGCGGUGGGUGCCGCCGGAGAUCGAGAUCCCCAGCGGCGAGGAGGGGGGAUACACCAGCCUCCGCGACAUCAUGUCGUCGCCCGAGUACGCCGCGGCCAAGCAGGCUCACUCCCCCGCGGACGGGGGCGGGGACGUGCACAUGAUACGCCACCCGCUCGUGAAGCACGCGGCGUACGCGUACCUGCAGCUCACGCCAUCCGCGCGGGAGGACCCCGGCAGGUUGUGCCGGCGGAGGCGCGGCCGGCUUUGCCGCCUUGUCCUCGGCUGUCUCGGCUUUGUCGGGGCGUUCUUCACGCGGUGA
rnacentral:rRNA from 1 species